UACGAGAGGCCCAAACGUUAUUCGGAAUUACUGGGCUUAAAGAGUUCGUAGGCGGCGCAGAAAGUAGGGUGUGAAAGCCCUCGGCUCAACCGAGGAAUUGCGCUCUAAACUACUGUGCUUGAGGGACCUAGAGGUGAGCGGAACUGAUGGUGGAGCGGUGAAAUGCGUUGAUAUCAUCAGGAACACCGGGAGGCGAAGGCGGCUCACUGGGGGUCUUCUGACGCUGAGGAACGGAAAGCCAGGGGAGCGAACGGG
rnacentral:rRNA from 1 species